GACGAACGCUGGCGGCGUGCCUGACACAUGCAAGUCGGACGGUUCUUGCACCUUCAAGCUUGCUUGCUGGUGCAAGGAUAGUGGCGGACGGGUGAGUAACGCGUGAACAUCUACCCAUUGGAGGGGGACAACCCGUCGAAAGGCGGGCUAAUACCGCGUAAGCCGCGAGGUGAGAGGCUGCCUAUUGGUGGCCGCCGAUGGAUGGGUUCGCGUCCUAUCAGCUGGUUGGUGGGGUAACGGCCUACCAAGGCGAAGACGGGUAGCCGGUCUGAGAGGAUGGCCGGCCACACUGGAACUGAGACACGGUCCAGACUCCUACGGGAGGCAGCAGUGGGGAAUAUUGGGCAAUGGGGGUAACCCUGACCCAGCGACGCCGCGUGAGGGACGAAGGUUUUCGGAUCGUAAACCUCUGUUGUACGGGAAGAAGGAAUUGACGGUACCGUACGAGAAAGCCCCGGCAAACUACGUGCCAGCAGCCGCGGUAAGCUAGUCUACG
rnacentral:rRNA from 1 species